rnacentral:rRNA from 1 species
UACGUAGGUGGCAAGCGUUGUCCGGAAUUAUUGGGCGUAAAGCGCGCGCAGGCGGUCCUUUAAGUCUGAUGUGAAAGCCCACGGCUCAACCGUGGAGGGUCAUUGGAAACUGGAGGACUUGAGUGCAGAAGAGGAAAGCGGAAUUCCACGUGUAGCGGUGAAAUGCGUAGAGAUGUGGAGGAACACCAGUGGCGAAGGCGGCGUUUCUGGUCGUG